AGUAACGCGUGAGGAACCUGCCUUUCAGAGGGGGACAACAGUUGGAAACGACUGCUAAUACCGCAUGACGCAUAGAGAUCGCAUGGUUUUUAUGUCAAAGAUUUAUCGCUGAAAGAUGGCCUCGCGUCUGAUUAGCUAGUUGGUAAGGUAACGGCUUACCAAGGCGACGAUCAGUAGCCGACCUGAGAGGGUGACCGGCCACAUUGGGACUGAGACACGGCCCAA
rnacentral:rRNA from 1 species